GAGGAAGGAUAUCUGAUUUUGAUGAUAAAUCUGAUAUUAGAGACUCAACUCUCUCAAUGCAUGCUUCCUUUCUGAUUAAAGCCAUGUCCCAGAAGGAAGAGUAUGUUAGGGAUAUAUCUGUUAACCUGCUGGUUCAACUUAGAAACAGGUUUCCGCAGGUAAUUUUAUUUACUGCUAUGCAAAGGUAUUCGAUUUUUUUCAUCGUCCAUGGAGUUAAAAUGAUCUUGGAUAAGAUGGUAUACAUACAAAUUUAUGGCAAAACCUUACAAAAUAAUUACAGACUUGCACUAUUAGCCCUGUUAUGAAGCUCACAAUACUCUUUUAUGACCAAAACUAUGUUUGGCUGAACCAUAAAUUAUAUUACGAGUUUACGACUUAAAUAGAUGAAGAGAGAGGAUAAGGACUGAGGUUAGCUUCGUUUUGUAGGCAAUUGGGGGCAAGGGAUGUGAGGUCCUCUAUUGAUUUCGUUAUAUUUCUUGCUCAUUACACUUGUUACGUACAGUUAUAACUUACGAGGUCAGUAUAAAAUUUUAGUUAUAAUAAUUUUGAAUUUGGAUUUGACAGAUAAAAUUGUGAUGAUAGUUUUGGGUGUGAUUGUUUUCAGCUUGAUACUACAUCGUUUGAUCAGGGAAAUUAUUAUUUCUUUUAUUGUUGUUAUAGUGUAAGUGAGAUUGGUAAGUUUCUAGAGUAUUUGGUUUGAAGGAACCAAGCUAUUUUCAGGAAUGUCGUGGUAAUCCCCCUUGGAAAUUAUCAAGCAAGCUGAUCAUUGGUGUGUGAGAUGGAAGAAAGAUAGAGCCAUAAGGAAAAGACCUGUGUGCACCGCUGUUCAGGUUGACAGCUUACAAAACCAACUCUGUUGGGGAUCAGGUGUAUACCACUAAAAUGGACAAGAAUUGACAGGUCAAAUUGCCUACAUACAUUAUAGAAAGGAAAGUGGAAGUUGUAAGAAGUCUAAAAAGAAGGGUACUAUGAAGAAAAAGUGAAAGUUUUAAGCUGCUAGCAAUGUAGAAUACUAGAAUUAGUCUUCUCUGUGAUCUCUUCUUUUUUAAUUUUUUUUUAAAAGAUAGUCAUGCUCUUAAAGUAAUUGAUGUACUAAUUACUGUCAUUUUAGUUGGUAUGCCUGUGAAUAAGAUAAUAAAUUACUCAUAUGUUGCAGUUUUGUGUAAUACUAUUAGUUGUAUUUUUUGUUGGUCGAAGUGUUAAUUCAUUUUUGAAAGCUACAAAUAUCUCUAUAGUAUAGACUUAUUCUACUUCACUGCUAUGCUAAUUCAAGUUGCU